rnacentral:rRNA from 1 species
AGGGUUCGAUUCUGGCCCAGAGUUAACGCUGGCAUCGUGCAUAACACAUGCAAGUCGAACGGGACUUUGCUUGUAGCAAUACAGAGUAAAGUUAGUGGCAGACGGGUGAGUAAUGUAUGGGAAAUCUACCUUCGAGUGGGGAAUAACGGCCCGAAAGGGUUGCUAAUACCCCAUAACAUUUCUGGGUGGCAUCACCUAGAAAUCAAAGAUUUAUCGCUUGAAGACGAUCCCAUAUUCCAUCAGCUAGUUGGCAGUGUAACGGACUACCAAGGCUACGACGGAUAGCCGGCCUGAAAGGGCGACCGGCCACAAGGGCACUGAGACACGGGCCCUACUCCUACGGGAGGCAGCAGUGGGGAAUUUUGGACAAUGGGCGAAAGCCUGAUCCCAGCAACGAUGCGUGGAGGAUGAAGGUUCUCGGAUUGUAAACUCCUUUUGUGAGGGACGAAAAAAUGACGGUACCUCACGAAUAAGCCACGGCUAACUACGUGCCAGCCGCAGC